rnacentral:rRNA from 1 species
GACGAACGCUGGCGGCGUGCCUAACACAUGCAAGUCGAGCGAAUGAAGUUCCUUCGGGAACGGAUUUAGUGGCGGACGGGUGAGUAACACGUGGGCAACCUGCCUCAUAGAGGGGAAUAGCCUUCCGAAAGGAAGAUUAAUACCGCAUAAGAUUGUAGCUUCGCAUGAAGCAGCAAUUAAAGGAGCAAUCCGCUAUGAGAUGGGCCCGCGGCGCAUUAGCUAGUUGGUGAGGUAACGGCUCACCAAGGCGACGAUGCGUAGCCGACCUGAGAGGGUGAUCGGCCACAUUGGGACUGAGACACGGCCCAGACUCCUACGGGAGGCAGCAGUGGGGAAUAUUGCACAAUGGGGGAAACCCUGAUGCAGCAACGCCGCGUGAGUGAUGACGGUCUUCGGAUUGUAAGGCUCUGUCUUCAGGGACGAUAAUGACGGUACCUGAGGAGGAAGCCACGGCUAACUACGUGCCAGCCGCCGCGGUAACAC